rnacentral:rRNA from 1 species
AGCGGCGGACGGGUGAGUAACGCGUGGGUAACCUGCCCUGUACACACGGAUAACAUACCGAAAGGUAUGCUAAUACGAGAUAAUAUGCUUUUAUCGCAUGGUAGAAGUAUCAAAGCUCCGGCGGUACAGGAUGGACCCGCGUCUGAUUAGCUAGUUGGUAAGGUAACGGCUUACCAAGGCGACGAUCAGUAGCCGACCUGAGAGGGUGAUCGGCCACAUUGGAACUGAGACACGGUCCAGACUCCUACGGGAGGCAGCAGUGGGGAAUAUUGCACAAUGGGCGAAAGCCUGAUGCCGCAACGCCGCGUGAGCGAUGAAGGCCUUCGGGUCGUAAAGCUCUGUCCUCAAGGAAGAUAAUGACGGUACUUGAGGAGGAAGCCCCGGCUAACUACGUGCCAGCAGCCGCGGUAAUACGUAGGGGGCUAGCGUUAUCCGGAAUUACUGGGCGUAAAGGGUGCGUAGGUGGUUUCUUAAGUCAGAGGUGAAAGGCUACGGCUCAACCGUAGUAAGCCUUUGAAACUGGGAAACUUGAGUGCAGGAGAGGAGAGUGGAAUUCCUAGUGUAGCGGUGAAAUGCGUAGAUAUUAGGAGGAACACCAGUUGCGAAGGCGGCUCUCUGGACUGUAACUGACACUGAGGCACGAAAGCGUGGGGAGCAAACAGGAUUAGAUACCCUGGUAGUCCACGCCGUAAACGAUGAGUACUAGCUGU